GCUACAUAAACUCUGGGCUGGGUUAGAAGGGGAGAGCUUGCAAAGGCAGCAGGCAAGAGAUUUCAGGUUUUGCAAGCUUAUUUUAGAUAUAUCGCCAAUGUAAAAAUACAUAAUUCAAUGCAUGCAAGUUUUCAUUUGGGGUAUGUGUACUAAACAGGGAUUUUUAUUUAUUUUGUAUUUUAAAGUGGUUAAACUUGCUGAUGGAUAGUGGCCUCUAAAUUCACUGCUGGACAGGUAACUGCUAGCAAGAUUCUAUCAGAUUUAAAUACGAAGUCCUUGUACAGUUUUCAAAUGUAAGGAGACAACCACGUCAUUGUAGACUUUGGUGUUCAAAAGAGUUGCCCCCUUUCCACAAAUUAUUUUUGACUUAGUAACUGACCCUCUACUGCAAGCAUUGUAAUGUUAUUUUAUAGCUUUCCAGUGGGCUCUGUCACAGCAAAAAUAUCACUGUUUGCAGGAGAGGAUCAGCUGUUUGUAAAUGAUCCUGUGUUUUACAUCCUACCACAUGUAUUUCAUCUACUUACAGCCUUUGGCGAUGUUGCAGGUUUUGCACUUGGCUGGAGGAAAUCCACGGCUUUGUACAUAAAGGCGCACUCCAAGUACAAAACAACUGUAGCUUAAUGAAGCAGUUUUGGUGUAUAUAUCAUGCCCCUACAAUCCCACUGCUCAAUUAUCUGCUAUUUAGGAAUUAAAUCACAUGUAUUUCUGUUUAUGCAGUCCUAGCCACAUCUCUCCCCUGCCUGUGACUGACACAGCCAACAAUGAUUUAAUUUUCAAUCGGAUUUUAGGGCAAAGUUUUUUUACUUUAGACAUUUUUACCUCCUGCUCUGUUAAUUGGCACAUAAUUGGACAGUGACACUGCAGGAGCAUGAUCUGUACACCAAAACCAAAUAAUGUAAACUUGUUUGAGGAGGGUCCUCAGCUCUGUACCAGCUAUUGUAUAGUGCUGCGAAAUUUGUUGGCACAUAAAUAAUAAUAAUUAGGCUAGAGUUGUUUUGAUGUGUGAAGUG